rnacentral:piRNA from 1 species
UGAGGUGUGCGGCAGGAGCGACCGUG